UUGAAGGCGUGGAGACUGAAGUCCUCUCUAUAUCCACAGAACAGGUAUGGCACAGGCAGAGGCAGUGCAGCUUUUCCACUGUCCCACCAAUGUGCCUCAGUCCUAUAAGGGGAACACGUUUAGGAUAAGAUGGCUGUUCAGUCUCCACGCCCUUCAAUUCUUGGCUACU
ensembl:misc_RNA